UGCCACUUGAUAUAUGAUGAGUGGUAUGUCCUGCUCGGUGAGGUAGCGCUUUAACAGCCGCGCUAGUUUGAGCGUGCGAAGGUAGCAAAAUAAUUUGUUCUUUAAUUAAGGGCUGGUAUGAAUGGAUAAACGAGGUUAUCACUGUCUCCUUAUUAAUGAUAAAAGUUAUAUUUUAGGUGCAAAUACCUGGAUGUUGCUAGAGGACAAGAAGACCCCGUUGUGCUUUAGUCUGACUGUGAGAAGGGUGAGGGAAGGGCUUUCGUUGGGGCAAUGGAGGUCGAUCUAAAGCGGUCUUUACUAAGUGAGGGGACCGUUAAUGUGUGUAGUGAUAAAGUUAUAAAUAGUUACCACGGGGAUAACAGGCUAAUCCGUCCUGAAAGGCCAUAUUGAUGGGCGGGUUUGGUACCUCGAUGUUGGCUCAGGGGUUCCCAUAGGCGCAGCAGCUUGAUGGGUAGGUUUGUUCACCCUAUAAAACCCUACG
rnacentral:rRNA from 1 species